rnacentral:sRNA from 1 species
AUUACCCAAAUAUGUGUUUUGAGC